GGGUAAACCUGCGAAACUCGAAUGAACGAACGGAGAGAUUCAUCGUCAUUCCGAGGCGUACGGGCGCGUGCCUCGAUGUCUACGCACUUCGGUGUGUGGACACGGGUCGUGUCCGUCGACGUUCUCGGACGGCGUGCACUUCUCUCUUAGUAAUACAUCGCGACCCGUUCGGUGUCGGUCUAAGCUUCGUACGGGAGUCCAGUUGUACGUUAUGCGUACGGUUGGACCGUUGCGAUAGCCGACCGGCCGCCGGACGGUAUAAUUGUUGAAACGUGCACGCGCCUUCGGCGCGUCCGGCCCGACGCAAGGCAACGUCUCGUCCGAAGUCCUGCCCGAGUGCGGAAUUCGGCGCGGCGGGCCUGUCGUCGCUGCCGUGCAGCCUCGGACCGUGCGCGUCUCAGUCUGCGAUGAUUCAGUUUCGGGCACUCGCAGGACCCGUCUUGAAACACGGACCAAGGAGUCUAGCAUGUGUGCGAGUCAUUGAGAUUAAUAAACUUAAAGGCGUAACGAAAGUGAAGGUGCGCGCUUGUCGCGCGCUCAGGGAGGAUGGAGUGUCGGUCUAGGUCGACCUCUCGCACUCCCGAGGCGUCUCGUUUCCAAUCCGUGAAUGUAGGCGCGCUCUGAGCGCACAUGCUGGGACCCGAAAGAUG
rnacentral:rRNA from 1 species